AGGUUUUAGAGCUAUUUCUCUGUGCUUUUUAUAGAACAGAGAGUAGUGAAAUCGAUACUCUGCGAAUGUGGCUUCCCGCUAUAUCCCAAUCAUUGCUUUGGUAAAAACCCUAACUUUAUCUUCCGAUUCGUCUCUCUGCCUUCAGGUAUGCUUAAUAUCCUCUAUCAUUUUACUCUUUUCACUACGAUUGAAACAUUGCUCUUCUUUUCUGAGAUUUCAAUUCUAGUCAAUUACUAGAUUUCAUUGAGGAAUUGAAUUUAGGGAUCUAAGCAAUUGGAUGAUUGUGAGAUAGGGUUAGUUGUAGCUUUGUUGUUUGAUUUUAAUACUGGCGAUAGUAUCUGAUAUUUGACUAUGUUAGAUUCUGUGGACAUCUGGGCUUAUAUAGACUUGGAUGGUGAUGAAUUUUUUGCUGCAUUUUACUUUAUAAAAACUUGAGCUUGAGGAUAACCUUUUCUCUUGUGGAAGAGAAUCAGCCAUGGUUCUCUCCUUUGAUUUGCAGGACUUUAUUCUCCGUGCUCGAGUUUUGAAGCUAUACAGACAAGCAUUAAGGACUGCACAAAGAUCCCCUGAACAUGCUAGAGGUGAAAUUUUGUAUUAUUUCAUAGACCACUUUCACUCAUCUUCUUCGUUCUUUAUUUUUUAUCAGUUCAAUUGGAGGAAAUCUAAUUCUAAACUCAGGCAUGGCAUUGGGUUUUUAACUCUUUCUUUAUCUGUUGUGUAUCAGUUUAAAUUCACCGUUUCUUAUUUAUUUCCGUCUACAAAUCUUGAGGAUGAACUCCCCCAUUUUUAAAUAAAGUUACUUGCGAAGUUUGGCAUCUGAGCUGAUUACUACAGGUGGAAUUUCUAUUAAGAAUUCAAACAGAUUUCAUUUUAAGCUUUUGAGUAGAUUACUAAAAAGAACCUGGGGUGAUGAAAACUAAUUUCCAAUAGUUUUUAGCAAGCUGAGGGUUUAUCAGCUUUGAAUUAGCUUGUCUAAAUGUAUAUAACCAUUUUGGCAUUACCUUAUAGUUAUCUGAACUUGCAGAAGUCUCGAUGCAUACUAUACAGUGAAUCGUUGAAAAGACUCUUAUCUCCUGUUUCAUUGGAGAUUCUACAUGCUUCGAUAUUAAUUGGAUAUAUCCGUUUGCUUUUGUGUUCAUAGCUUUUACUAUUUGGUCUACCACUUGAUCAUUUCAUAGCAUUCGAACUAUUUCUCAUGUAGUACCUUGUCCUUGUUUCUUUAAAUUGUUGAGAAUUACUUUGCUCAAUCUUAACAAUUUGUCUACUCUAUUAUAUGUAUAUGAGCGAUGAUUAUAACUUGCAAUAAAAAAAAAAAAAAACUUCUCAUGUUAAUGUCAUCCAAAAGGCUUUAUUUGAAUACUGUGUUGAGUGCAACUCUAGCAGCUUUAUCUGAAAUUCAAUGAAUUUUACAGUUGAACUGAAGCAGACAAUUAGACAAGAGAUGGAGAAUAACCGGAAUUGCAAGGACAAGCAGAGGAUUCGUUUCCUGAUUAGUGAAGGAUUAGAGAGAUUAAAACGUUUGGAUGAGAUGCUUGAUAUGCAGGGCAAUUGCUAGUAGACUGAAAUUGCAUAUGAUAUGUGCAAUGAUGUAGUUCAAUUUUUUGGAGGAUUAAGUUUCUCAAUGUAAUAGACAAUUAAUCUAACGUAAUGCUGAAUAUGGAACGAGAGAAGUUCUCAAUUACUGAUGCGGAAAUUGUGAGCAAUGGUUUCAAAUAAAGGUAGAGAGCUGCACUGCCAGCAAAUAUAAUAUUCUCAGG
rnacentral:misc_RNA from 1 species